rnacentral:rRNA from 1 species
CCUACGGGAGGCAGCAGUGAGGAAUAUUGGUCAAUGGACGCAAGUCUGAACCAGCCAUGCCGCGUGCAGGAAGACGGCUCUAUGAGUUGUAAACUGCUUUUGUACGAGGGUAAACGCAGAUACGCGUAUCUGUCUGAAAGGAUCGUACGAAUAAGGAUCGGCUAACUCCGUGCCAGCAGCCGCGGUAAUACGGAGGAUUCAAGUGUUAUCCGGAUUUAUUGGGUUUAAAGGGUGCGUAGGCUGUCGGAUAAGUUAGAGGUGAAAUCCCGAGGCUCAACUUCGGAAUUGCCUCUGAUACUGUUCGGCUAGAGAGUAGUUGCGGUAGGCGGAAUGUAUGGUGUAGCGGUGAAAUGCUUAGAGAUCAUACAGAACGCCGAUUGCGAAGGCAGCUUACCAAGCUACUUCUGACGUUGAGGCACGAAAGCGUGGGGAGCGAACAGGAUUAGAUACCCUUGUAGUC